rnacentral:lncRNA from 1 species
GGGAACAUCAUGUCUCCUACAAAUAGAACCCUUCUCUAUAACUGUUUUUUUUUAAACAAACAAUUAACAAACAUGUAAAAUCAGCUUGAAGGUUCAAUGGCGGGUUGGUGUAUCUAUCCAACUGGAAUAUUAUGCAGAAAAUAAAAACUCCCAUUGAGAAAAACAUGCAUAACAAAAGGUUGGAUGUCAAAAAUGGGAUUCAAAAUAAAAUAUAUCAUCCAACUAGAAAUAAAUGAAAAGGCCAACUAGAUGUGUUUAGUGAGUUCCAGGGCAGUGUGGGUCACAAACAACAGUAAAAUAACAAUAAAAUAACAACAACAACAACAAAAUUCAAAAGAGAAAGAGAUCAGAGGAGACAAGAAAGAGAAGAGAGGGGGCUGUGUCUAUGUCUGAGGGGUGUUUGUUUGGUUUUUACUUUUCAAAAAAUUUAACGGAUUUCACUGGCUUUAGAAUCUUAAAAAUUGUGAUUUUUAAAUGCCUCACCAGGAAAAUCUUAUGGAAACUGGCAGGAUACCAUAUUUUUAGGCUAGGCUACCUGAUGGUUCGUAAUACUUGCGUGUAGCCAGAGUGUCUUCCUGAACUUGGCCUAAAGAGGUAGAUCUUGUGGGUUUGUAGCAGGAAAGGUCAUGGAGGGGUGCAUUCGAUGCGAUGCCCAUCUGGGGCUGUGGUUCGUAGGCAAAGCGAAUGUCUUCAACUCAGCCUCCUGCCAGAUGCCUCUGGCUGGUCAAGACUGUGUGCGUCUCUCCUUUGCCUCAGCCGCCAAGCAGUAACUGAGAAACCGAGUGUCCCACCCAGAAACACAGUUAGUGCCUGGCCCAGAGAAGCAUGCCACAUUCCUCAAGAUUAAAAGCAGACUGUGGAGAGCUCUUGGUGGAGAGAUGCUUUCUGUGCAAGUAUGAGGAUUGGAGCUCAAUCCCCAGAACCCACAUAAAAAAGCUGGAUAACCUACACCUAUUAUCCCAGCACUAGGCGGAUAGAGACAGGGGGAUUCUCAGGGCUCACUGGCCAGUCAGUCUAACCAAACUGUGAGCUCCUGGUUUGGUGAAAGACCUUGUCUAGAAAGACAAGGUGGAGAGUGAUUGACUGGGGGAAACAUCCAGCAUGUACCUCUGGCCUCUACAGGAGCACAUGCAAGCAUGCAUGCUUGAACAUGCAUGUCACGUGUGUGCACACAUACAUAAAUAUUAUUGACAUACAUAAAUAUACUAAUAUUAACUAGCACACACACAUCAAUAAAUAUACUAAUAUUAACUAACGCACACCAGACUGAUGUCUGUUGAGUGAUUCCUUCAGACAAGGAACGCAGGCAGUAUGAACCACGGAUGUGGUAUUAUUUUACAACAUUUUACGCACUAAGGAGAAAUACAUUUGAUAACUUUACCAGAAAACAUCAUGCUAAUUAAGAAGAAUAUAAAGAAGGUGGCGGAACAGCUUCUAUGGAGUCUUUACUACAUGCCAUUUUGUAUAAGUGCUUCUAGUUUGCAUAAUUUAUCCCAUUUAAUGUUAGCAUUAAUCACCAGGGAGUCUGAGAACUCUUUCACCUGGGUCUGUGUGAUAUCAUCAUGAAGACCUCGUCUCUCCCUCCACAAUGCUUCUUUCUAACCCCUAACCUUUGCCACCUGCUGCCCUCUGACAGUACCUUCUCCUCCAUAUUCACUUCAGAAAUUGGGAAGUCCCAGAGAGUCCAACUAUAACCUAAUCAGGAUUGAUCCAUCCACUUUGACUUAAUCACUUUCAUUUUUACUACGCCUUCCUCCUUCUGCCAAAACGAGAUGAACGUGUUAGAGGUAGGCUAAUGUGCUGAGUGAAAAAGACAUCGCUGCCUUCAUGUAAUACUGCAUUAUGAAGCCCAGCUGCUCCUCUCCAGACUAAAGAACACAUUUCCCAUACUGCACAAGACCUAAGAUUUAAAACCCCUGUAUGGGUUUUAUUUUUACUUUGGUUGGGCUUUUUUGCCUGCAUUUCUCAGUGGCCACCAGGUCAGUCACAAAGCUGUGGUUCUGAGCAGCCCGGGCCUCUUCAUCAUGACAAACAGACCCUAUGGUUAGCUCCAUAGACAGCUCAGCAGCCUUUGAUUUGGUCAUCAGUUCCAGGGGAAAGUGGUUUAUGGAGGAGAAAUCCCUGCACUCAGGAUCCAUGGCUUUCUGUGGACCACGUCUAACCCAGUUGUGGCUCCCAUCUCAGGAGGACAUACAUUGAUCUUGACGCUGGCACUCUUUUUCUGCCUCCUAGUGCUCUUUCAUAGUCCCUGCAUGGUGGCUUCCAGUGAACCUCUUCAGAGUCACCGCUCCUCCCCACAGAUCCUGCUCCCAACCCACAUUCUUCCACACGUCUGGGCCUCCAGUGGUACCGUGACCUCUACACGAGUUCCUUUUGCAAAUGCCUAUGAAAUGGAAGAGAAACACCACCGUUUUCAUGGAACUGUCCUAGGGUUCCAUAAUACAGUGGUGGGUUUCCAACCUGUCUCCAUAAGAGAUUCUAAUUUUAGCAUUGAAUGACACUUUAAAAAUAUGUAUUUAAUUUUUAAUUUAUGUACAUGAAUGUUCAAGCAGGGUGUGGGAGUGAGUGUGUGUGUGUGUGUGUGUGUGUGUGUGUGUGUGUGUGUGUUUAUUCACCUAUGUGUGGGUGCCCAUGCAUGCCAGAAGACUAUAUCUCAAAUCCUUUGGAUUUGGAGUUAUUGAUGAUCGUAAGCUUCCCAGGGUGGACUCUGGAAACCAAACUCAGAUCCCAGGAGAGCACAGAAAGUUCUCGUGACUUACAGAGCCACCUCUCUAGCCCUUAAAACCACUCUCACUGGAAUUGUUGGCUCAUCUGCACAGAACUGAAUCAGGAUAGGUGAGACUGCUCUAGCAGGCAGCCCCCCCCC